CGAACGGGUGAGUAACGCGUGAGGAACCUGCCUCAAAGAGGGGGACAACAGUUGGAAACGACUGCUAAUACCGCAUAGCCCACGGGUCGGCAUCGACCAGAGGGAAAAGGAGCAAUCCGCUUUGAGAUGGCCUCGCGUCCGAUUAGCUAGUUGGUGAGGUAAUGGCCCACCAAGGCGACGAUCGGUAGCCGGACUGAGAGGUUGAACGGCCACAUUGGGACUGAGACACGGCCCAG
rnacentral:rRNA from 1 species